ensembl:lncRNA
GUCUUUUCUGAAGCAGAGAAUUGAGAGGUACUACUGGGUGUUCUUACCAUGUCUGCUGCAACCUCCUAGCCAGAGGAGGCUGUUUAAGCAUUUUCAUGUUGUUACACUUUGGAUCUUUUUAUCUAUGACUUACUACAGCCUAAACACUUCUCCUAAUAGAAGCUGCUCCAGAAAUUUGUUUUCUCCCUUUUUAACAGCCAUCUUCCAGUGUCUAGCCUGAAGUUAUUUGCAAGCUAUUUACACGCAUUUGUACCAGCAUCAGUCAUCCUUUAGCUUAUCCAGCUCUCUACCAUUGUGUUCAGCCUCUAGAUUUGUCUAUGAAUAACAACCCCUUUGCCUUUAUUUUGCUAGGCUGAUCAGCCUCUUAGCUUCUUUUUGCACCAGAGGAUUUCCGUCCCCAUAAUGACAAGUGUCUGCACUGGUUCACGUCAGCAUUUAUUCUUCCUGACCCUUCUUCUAGAUUUGUGUUUCAAUAGUGCCUUACCACUAGUAUUUCCUUUCUUCAUGGGAAAUAUCUUUCCUGAUGAUCUGCCAAUUAUAUCUGCUCUUUUUUUUUUUUUUCCUCUGCUAAUAGAACAAGUCAUACAAGGUCCCAGUCAAGAAAUCAAAACCAAACAAUCCAUCUACACUUUACACGUCUGUACCAGUGAAAGAAAUGUGGGAAACUGAAUACAAGAACUAUCUAUGCCAACUAGUGCAGCUAAGAAUGGAUGGAGUAAUAGAUUGGCUGGGCUGGGAGAACAGAUAUGCUACUGCUCUGUGCCACCCCAGCUACACAUGGAUAAUGGAAGAUACUCAGCUGGAAGUGUCCAGGUAAAGGUGAAGAUAAACAGCUCAUCGUUUAUCAGAGAAGUUACCCAUAAAGCUGUCUGGAAGUCUUUCUCCUAGAGCUGGGCAGGCAAGCAAAUCCUACUAUUGAUUUGGGAAGCCGAGAUUAGGGAAGGUGAUGAAACCAGCUAGAGAAGGAGACCUACAGCAACACUUCCAGGAGAACCAGUUGUGUAAAGUUCCACAGCAUCUGAGAACUCCAUAGCACACUAUCACUUAACCGACUGAAGAAAAUACAGGUAAGUAUUAAACCCAGAAAAGACCCUUGCUAGGGCCCCAAUAUCAAUUCUACUUUUUAGACAGUAUUCUCAGUGGAAGGUUGUUUAAAAUUGAACUUGAGGUCUUGCAUCCAGCUAGUUUGUAUAUUAACUUGGCCGUAUCUCUCUAGUCCAUUUACUGUAUGAAUGUCAUACGAAACAAUACCAGAAUCUCUAAUAAUGACAAGGCAGAUAGAAUUUACUGCUUCCUGUCUGUCCAAAAGACCUGUUAUCCUCUGAAAGAAGGAGAUAAGAUUGGUUUGACAUGACUUGGUGACUGCAAUUCAUGUAUUUUUGUUCUUCCAUGUUCUUAAUAGGUAUUUGGAAUUUUUUAUUUCAGCAUUUAUUUGAAAAUUUGAAUUACUUGACUAGUCUGCAGUUGAGGAUCCCAAAUUUCUCUCUUUCCCUUCUCCCUCUUCCUUCCUACAACCAUUAUUUCCAAGCCAGUGACAGAAUAAAAUCAAACAACCAACACCCAGCUGAAAUUAACACUGUUCACAUGAAGUCUAGAAGACUGCACUUCACAAACAAUUUAAAAGGAAUAUGUUAAUAUAAUUUGUAAAAAAAUUCUGUACAUAUUUUACGCAAGGGUGCAUGAGAUUCCCCAGUUUAAAAAAUGGGAAGAAAGGACAGUGGGAACAGAAAGUGAACAAGAUGAAUAUAUAAAAAUAUUAUGGUUACACUAAUUAAGGUUGUAAAAAAGACACAGAUAUUAUAUAAUUCAUUUAAUAGCAUUUUUUUUUUCAUUUCUGAAUGAAAUAAUGGAAUUGUCAAACACUUCUAAUCUCUACAUUCUCAAAUGUAGAUCCCAGAAUAGUUUGAGAAGGGAAAGACUUGGCUGAAAUCAGAGAUGUGACAGAAAUCUGUAUCUCCAAACAGAUGUGUGGUCUUUGACAAUUUAAGAUUUUUUUCUUUAUACUUGCUGUUUCAUGUCUUUACUGCCUCUUUCCUGGAAGUCUUUGCUACUCAAUUUGUAUCCUUCCCUCCUAUAUCUUUUGAACACAAACAAAAUUUUUAACUAUCACUGACAGCUUGUCACCUUUCUCCCAAGAACUCAUACGGAGAGAUGCUGAUCUUAUGUCAAAGAUGAAAAUAAUCCUUUUUUUUGUGUGUGUGUGCAUGCGUGUGUGUGUGUGUGUGUGUGUGUGAAAUAAGCUAAACAUAUAUAAGCAACUCUGGUCAAUGAGGAUGAAGUACUGAAAAACUUUUGUUUAUACCUUUUUUUUUCUCAGUAAAAUUCUCUGUUCUUUAAUCCCUUAUAAAGAGGAAGCUUGUCAGAGAAGGAGGGAAAUUCUUUCCUGUUUGAUGAGAACUUGGAGGAACAGAGCCAAGAGUCAGCAGGACAAUGACCCAUCCUCACUCAGCUCAAGAAUCCCUACCAAGAACCCUGACUUGUCAAGCAUGUGCAAUACACGGAACUUGUACAUGACUACCCUACUUCUUCUAGCUACCUGUCACAGUAGUGUUUGACUUUCUCUCAAAAUAAUGUUCCCUGGAGUUAUUUAUUCUACCUCUUGCUAUUCUUCUAUCUCUGUUCUUUCUCUAGUGACGAGUUCAGAAUUGAAGAGCUGACCUACAGAAACUCUGGCCUUAUGUUAUGCCUCCAGUUUUCAAGUUGAAGCACUGAAAAAUACUACACCAUGCAGAUGUGACUACACAGGCAGGAACUCAGCAUCUUGGAAUUUUAUUUGCACAAAACAAACUGCACAAAUUAUGUUGAUGAAAAUCUAUUCAAAAUGAUUUCAUUUAUUAGACCACAAUGAUAUCAUGCCACACCUCUGAAGAAAAUGAAGUAUGUCUAUUGAAUAAUAAUAACAAAACACAAACAGUCCUGAGAGUAGACAUGAAAAAGUGCAAGUAAAAAUCACACAAAAUUAAUGGCUUAUUUAGGUUUGAUCUCUUGCUUUUUUAUUAAGGAAAAACCCUUGGAUGGCUGUACUUUCACUGAGGCUAGGGGAUUGUCCUUAUUUAAUAUUAGGAUGGAGGUACUCAAAUGUUUUUAUCACAGGGACUGUACCCCAACAGAGCUCACCACCUUCAUCUGCAGAUCACAUAAGAUCCACAUCUAGCCUGCAGAACCACUUGAUAUACUAUUCUGUAAACUCAGUGUCUGAAGCUGUGCCUGCACAACACCAUCAGCCAGCUGUCCUAAGGACAUGAACAAGUGCUCUGCAGACCAGCCAUUUCAAAAGCCUUCAGUGAGCAAAUCUUUAAAGCAUUUAUGUCUACAAAGAUGCUUUUUUAGUACAUUUUUCAAACCCCCAUAUUAACUGUUUGGUGAGACCUGAAGGCUUAAAAGGUGCUCAAGAAAAGACUAUUUCAACAGCAACUCCUUUUAAACUCUGCUAAAUUCAUACAUGCAUUAUCCACACAUGCACAUAGAUACAGAUACACGCUCAUAAAUGUUAUCUAUAAUAAUUCCUCAGGGCAAUACAGACCUGGACACGAAAUCAUGAGAGCACUAUAAUGUCAUUCACUUUUGACCUUUCCUGUUUAGAAAAGGGCAAAUGAUUUCUGGUUCUACUCUGUCAGGAGAAACCAUCAAGCAGAAUCGUAUGAUUCUUCUAGGACACUUCACAAAUACUGCCAAGAUUUGCUUCUGUAUAUAGCAGUUGUACAAUGCCACACGGAGAAAACAGAAGCAGGUGGACCAGGACUGAACUAUAUGUGGUUUUCUUUGUGCAUUGGGUUGGCUGCAAACUGCCAGGUUUCAUAAUUCUCCCUUUCAUGUUGAUUUUCUGGUGCACAACAAAGCAUCAUUUCAUAUUAAAGUCUCUUCUUCAGUCAUGGAAUCGUAUCUCUUUCACCCAGCUUCUUAUUUCCACAAAAGUUGCUUCCAUCAGUCAAGUAAACCACCUGGUAUGCUGGAGUAUGAAGGUGAAACACUAGUGAGACUGCAGGACACUUCGUGCUAGGGUAGUAUCUUGUGUAUCUUGUAUGGAAAGACUCUGCACAACAUAUUUUCUUACAAGCCAAGUACUAACUGGAUCUAAAUAAGCUCUUUAUAGUAAAGUAUUAUCAACUAUGAAACAUUUCCAAAAUUGGAUUAAGUUGAUUACAGUUCUAAGGUUUGGAAAUUUCCUUUGUAACUGAUGUUAUUAAUUCUAUUGAGCCUUUGAAUUUAUUUUUUUUCUCCUGACCAUGAAAACUAAUAUCUGUUUUUGGCAGAGAAAAGGGUAAUGGGAUGUGUUUGAUUUCUAAUAUAAUCCUGUUACUAACAAGGAAGAAGCUUGAAG